GACCAAGAAGUCUAACAUGUGUGCGAGUCAUUGGGUAUUUUGUUGAAACCUAAGGGCGCAAUUAAAAUAACUAUUUUAUGGGAUUACAAGUGAAUUUCAUUUCAUUUCUUCAUCCCGGGGCGUUCUAUACGAACAUGGUGCAAGCAAUUGAACCCUCUGUUCAAGAGCGUACCUUGAGCAUACAUGCUGUGACCCGAAAGAUGGUGAACUAUACCUGAUCAGAUCGAAGCCAGGAGAAAUUCUGGUGGAGGAUCGAAACAGUUCUGACGUGCAAAUCGAUUGUCAGAAUUGGGUAUAGGGGCGAAAGACCAAUCGAACCAUCUAGUAGCUGGUUCCCUCCGAAGUUUCCCUCAGGAUAGCUGGCGCAACGAAUUAUAUUAUAUAUAAUCUUAUCUGGUAAAGCGAAUGAUUAGAGGCCUUGGGGCCGAAACGACCUCAACCUAUUCUCAAACUUUAAAUGGGUAAGAACCUCAUCUUUCUUGAUCUGAAGAUAUUGGGGUUUAGAUAUAUUGUGCCCAGUGGGCCACUUUUGGUAAGCAGAACUGGCGCUGUGGGAUGAACCAAACAUGAUGUUACGGCGCCUAAAUUAAUGACUCAUAUUGAUACCAUGAAAGGCGUUGGUUGCUUAAAACAGCAGGACGGUGGACAUGGAAGUCGUAAUCCGCUAAGGAGUGUGUAACAACUCACCUGCCGAAGCAACUAGCCCUUAAAAUGGAUGGCGCUCAAGUCAUAUGCCUAUACAUCAUCGCUAGAAUAAAAAUUGUUGACCAUUCGGCCAUCAAUGUGAAAUUCUAGUGAGUAGGAGGGUACAAUGGUGUGCGCAGAAGUGUUUGGCGUGAGCCUGCAUGAAGCCGCCAUUGGCACAGAUCUUGGUGGUAGUAGCAAAUAAUCGAAUGAGAUCUUGGAGGACUGAAGUGGAGAAGGGUUUCGUGUGAACAGUGGUUGAUCACGAGUUAGUCGGUCCUAAGCUUUAUGCGAAAGCUGUUUAAUUUAUGUUACACACAAAAUUUUUGUUGUACAUAAUUCAAUAAAAGCGAAAGGGAAUACGGUUCCAAUUCCGUAACCUGUUGAGUAUACGUUUGUUUAUUAAAAAUGGGUCUUAUUACACUCAUCCUGGCAACAGGAACGACCAUAGAGAAGCCUUCGAGAGAUACUGGAAGAGUUUUCUUUUCUGCUAAACAAACGUAUCACCAUGGAAGUCUUUUAUAGAGAGAUAUGGUGGAUGGCUUGGAAGAGCAUGACAUUUACUGUUGUGUCAGUAUUUUCUCCUUGGACCUUGAAAAUCUAUGGUGGGGCCACGCAAACUUCUCAACAGACCGUACCGAUAUCCGCAG
rnacentral:rRNA from 1 species